rnacentral:rRNA from 1 species
UACGUAGGGUGCGAGCGUUAAUCGGAAUUACUGGGCGUAAAGCGUGCGUAGGCGGUUCGUCAAGUCUGAUGUGAAAGCCCCGGGCUCAACCUGGGAACUGCAUUGGAAACUAGCGAGCUUGAGUGUGGCAGAGGGGGGUGGAAUUCCACGUGUAGCAGUGAAAUGCGUAGAUAUGUGGAGGAACACCGAUGGCGAAGGCAGCCCCCUGGGCCUGUACUGACGCUCAUGCACGAAAGCGUGGGGAGCAAACAGG